AGUAACGCGUGGGUAACCUGCCUCAUACAGGGGGAUAACAGUUAGAAAUGACUGCUAAUACCGCAUAAGCGCACAGUGCUGCAUGGCACAGUGUGAAAAACUCCGGUGGUAUGAGAUGGACCCGCGUCUGAUUAGCUAGUUGGUGGGGUAACGGCCUACCAAGGCGACGAUCAGUAGCCGGCCUGAGAGGGCGAACGGCCACAUUGGGACUGAGACACGGCCCAAACUCCUACGGGAGGCAGCAUG
rnacentral:rRNA from 1 species